CACAGUCAAGCCACAUUAUUCUGACCAGCAGUUAAUAUCCAGAGUAACCGCCAUGUGCAGCACAGACCGCAGCUAGAUGGGCUGAGAGUGACUCAGUAAGGUCCUGGUAGGUUAUCACAGGCAUCUGGAGCCAUGCUGCCUGCAGGGCAUCCUACAGCUGCUGGAGGGGGAAAAGGUCCAUGGAGC